rnacentral:rRNA from 1 species
UACGUAGGGGGCAAGCGUUGUCCGGAAUCAUUGGGCGUAAAGAGCGUGUAGGCGGCCCGGUAAGUCCGCCGUGAAAGUCCAGGGCUCAACCCUGGAAUGCCGGUGGAAACUGCCGGGCUGGAGUCCGGAAGAGGCGAGUGGAAUUCCUGGUGUAGCAGUGAAAUGCGUAGAGAUCGGGAGGAACAUCAGUUGCGAAGGCGGCUCUCUGGACCAGCACUGACACUGAGGCACGAAAGCGUGGGUAGCAAACAGG